AUGAAGGGCAUCGAGAGACUCUCCACUACUGCUGAUUUGCUAAGCUUCAUUGACCUAUGGCAUCAGAUCAACCAAAUCACUCUCUCUGACCAGCCAGAUGAGAUUGACUGGAGAUGGACUAGCAACAACAACUACACCGCUGCCUCGGCCUACAAUGCCCAGUUCACGGGAUCCAUCAUGAAGCCCCAGCUUAAUGCAAUCUGGAAAACAAAGGUGGAGGGGAAAGUUAAAUUCUUUGCUUGGCUCCUGGUUCUGAAUCGCCUGCCCACGGCUGACAGACUCCGUGCGAGAGGAUGUGAUCAUAAUGACACAUGCUCCCUUUGCGACCAAACUAUUGAAUCGGCAUCCCACCUAGUCUGCCAUUGCCCCUUCGCCAAGGAAGUUUGGCACAAAUUGGCUGUCCUGCAACCUGAUGUCUAA
rnacentral:rRNA from 1 species